rnacentral:rRNA from 1 species
GACGAACGCUGGCGGCGUGCUUAACACAUGCAAGUCGAACGGAAAGGCCCUGCUUUUGUGGGGUGCUCGAGUGGCGAACGGGUGAGUAACACGUGAGUAACCUGCCCUUGACUUUGGGAUAACUUCAGGAAACUGGGGCUAAUACCGGAUAGGAGCUCCUGCUGCAUGGUGGGGGUUGGAAAGUUUCGGCGGUUGGGGAUGGACUCGCGGCUUAUCAGCUUGUUGGUGGGGUAGUGGCUUACCAAGGCUUUGACGGGUCGCCGGCCUGAGAGGGUGACCGGCCACAUUGGGACUGAGAGACGGCGCAGACUCCUACGGGAGGCAGCAGUGGGGAGUCUGGCACAAUGAGCGGAAGUCUGAGGCAGCAACGCCGCGUGCGGGAUGACGGCCUUCGGGUUGUAAACCGCUUUCGCCUAUGACGAAGCGUGAGUGACGGUAAUGGGUAAAGAAGCACCGGCUAACUACGUG